rnacentral:rRNA from 1 species
CGACAGUACCAAAACACAUGAGACUAACCCUGUGAUGACCCCGUCAGGCCUUCGGGCCUGUGGUUGGGUUUGAGUGGGGGACCUGAGUGUGGAGUCGGUAAGCGUGA